rnacentral:rRNA from 1 species
UUGAACGCUGGCGGCAUGCUUUACACAUGCAAGUCGAACGGCAGCACGGGGGCAACCCUGGUGGCGAGUGGCGAACGGGUGAGUAAUAUAUCGGAACAUAUCCGGGAGUGGGGGAUAACGUAGCGAAAGUUACGCUAAUACCGCAUAUGCCCUGAGGGGGAAAGUGGGGGAUCGCAAGACCUCACGCUUUCGGAGUGGCCGAUAUCGGAUUAGCUAGUUGGUGGGGUAAAGGCCCACCAAGGCGACGAUCCGUAGCUGGUCUGAGAGGACGACCAGCCACACUGGGACUGAGACACGGCCCAGACUCCUACGGGAGGCAGCAGUGGGGAAUUUUGGACAAUGGGGGCAACCCUGAUCCAGCCAUGCCGCGUGAGUGAAGAAGGCCUUCGGGUUGUAAAGCUCUUUCGGACGGAAAGAAACGGUCACGGCCAAUACCCGUGGCUAAUGACGGUACCGUCAGAAGAAGCACCGGCUAACUACGU